GACGGAGGGUGCAAGCGUUGCUCGGAAUCACUGGGCGUAAAGGGUGCGUAGGCGGCUUCUUAAGUCUGACGUGAAAGCCCCGGGCUCAACCUGGGAAUUGCGCUCGAGACUGGUCUGCUUGAGUUCGGGAGAGGAGAGUGGAAUUCCCAGUGUAGAGGUGAAAUUCGUAGAUAUUGGGAAGAACACCGGUGGCGAAGGCGGGUCUCUGGGCCGAUACUGACGCUGAGGAGCGAAAGCGUGGGGAGCGAACAGG
rnacentral:rRNA from 1 species